CAAAGACAAUGAGGACACAAAGUAAACACCUCUAAAGUUGCAGUCCAAAGUCACUUCCCUCCUGGUUUCUGGUUACUCUCCCUCUUAAUUCCUGGCAGCCCUGCAGUUGUAGAGCUCUGGUCGCCGGCACCAAAUGGUAAUUUAUCAUCUUUCUUGGCAGGCUUCCUGCUUCAUCCUGCACCUGCCUUCUUGAAAGAAAACAAGACAUCAGAUACUUAUUCAAAUAAUGGAAUAGCUGAUCAACUAGGUCUCUGCACAAUAGAGCAGUGUACAUUCUGCAGCAUGUAGGCAUUGGAUCGGAGCGACAGGUCCCAGGAUGCUCUACGUUGGACACGCUGCGACAUCUGCCAGGUCUGUGGUCCUGCAACACCGUGCAAGAGCAGUUCUGGCUACAGAGACCUGAUGGAGAUGAUGUGGAGAAGCGGGAGCUCCAGGACCAUUGCAGCAUGGCUGGUGAAUGUCUGGCUGGGAGCUCUUUGACACGGGACAGAAAAUCCAACUCAACCGAUCUGGAGCUGAAGAUGAGAUGGAUCCUACUCAAGACACAGGGAUAAGAGGGAUCUAUUUUCAAAGGAAACAAGACAGUCUUAGCAAAAGAAGAGAAAUGGAGGUACAAAGCAAUAUGCCAGGAAUUUAACAUCUCUC
rnacentral:lncRNA from 9 species